GUCUAUGUAGUUUAAUGGGUCAAAACAAUAUGCUGUUAACAUAUGAAAAAAGGUUCAAAUCCUUUCGUGGACU
rnacentral:tRNA from 1 species